UACGUAGGUGGCAAGCGUUGUCCGGAAUUAUUGGGCGUAAAGCGCGCGCAGGCGGUCCUUUAAGUCUGAUGUGAAAGCCCACGGCUCAACCGUGGAGGGUCAUUGGAAACUGGGGGACUUGAGUGCAGAAGAGGAAAGUGGAAUUCCACGUGUAGCGGUGAAAUGCGUAGAGAUGUGGAGGAACACCAGUGGCGAAGGCGACUUUCUGGUCUGUAACUGACGCUGAGGAGCGAAAGCGUGGGGAGCAAACAGG
rnacentral:rRNA from 1 species